AAGACUAUAGACCUGCGGAGUACCUGCGGAGGGAUCAUUAUCGAGUUUACAACUCCCAAACCAUUGUGAAUCUUACCUUUUCGUUGCUUCGGCGGGAUCGCCCCGGGCGCUUCGGUGCCCCGGAUUCAGGCGCCCGCCGGGGGACCUAAACUCUUGUAUUAUAGUGGAUUUCUGAGUGGAUUACACAAAUAAUCAAAACUUUUAACAAUGGAUCUCU
rnacentral:misc_RNA from 1 species